GACGAACGCUGGCGGCGUGCCUAAUACAUGCAAGUCGAACGCACCCUUCGGGGUGAGUGGCGCACGGCUGAGUAACACGUGGGAAUCUGUCGUCCAGUGGGGGAUAACGCAUCGAAAGAUACGCUAAUCCCGCAUACGGUCCGAAAGGAAGAAAGGCGCAAGUCGCUGGAUGAGGAGCCUGCGGCCCAUCAGGUAGUUGGAGAGGUAACGGCUCACCAAGCCAAUGACGGGUAGCUGGUCUGUGAGGACA
rnacentral:rRNA from 1 species